GGGUUCCUAGCUCAAUUGGGAGAGCAGCGGUCUCCAAAGCCGCCGGUUGCAGGUUCGACCCCUGCGGAGCCCGC
rnacentral:tRNA from 3 species